rnacentral:snRNA from 1 species
GAAUAUGAAGGCUAUCUGGCUACCACUUCUGUCACCCUAUUGAUCACCAGGGUUAUUCAGCUGAUUUGGCUGGCUAAGUGGAUAUCUCCUUUCUCCUUACCACUCCAUGUGCAUGACUCCUGAAGCUGUGUGCUUAGUGGAAGAGGACAAACCAUCCCAGAUUAAAAGGAGUGUACUGAUCUUCCAUCAAGAGUAUACAAUAGCUUUACUCCCCUGCUGGAAUCUUCAAACAAGCUCACCAGUAUAACUCAUAAGAAUUAUGGUGCUGCCAAAUUGAAGGUGGAUAGAGGUUAAAGCAUUUGGUUACAAAAGAGAACACAUUAGGAAUAAAGAAAUGUUCUUAAUUG